AUUGAACGCUGGCGGCAGGCCUAACACAUGCAAGUCGAACGAGUGGCGGACGGGUGAGUAAUGUCUGGGAAACUGCCUGAUGGCGGGGGAUAACUACUGGAAACGGUAGCUAAUACCGCAUACCAUCAGAUGUGCCCAGAUGGGUUUAGCUAGUUGGUGGGGUAACGGCUCACCAAGGAGACGAUCCCUAGCUGGUCUGAGCGGAUGACCAGCCACACUGGAAAUGAGACACGGUCCAGAAUCCUACGUGAGGCAGCAGUGGGGAAUAUUGCACAAUGGGCGCAAGCCUGAUGCAGCCAUGCCGCGUGUAUGAAGAAGGCCUUCGGGUUGUAAAGUACUUUCAGCGAGGAGGCGUUACCCGCAGAAGAAGCACCGGCUAACGCCGUGCCAGCAGCCGCGGUAAUAC
rnacentral:rRNA from 1 species